ensembl:lncRNA
UAUAUAUAUAUAUUAUAAUAGGGCAUUCAUUCAUUUUCAGAAUUGUAACCCUUUUAAAUGCUGGUUUGUUUACAUAAUGCCACAGAUGUUUGUUUUUUUAUAAUAAAGAUUUUUCUGAUUAUUACAGUCUUUGAUAUGUCAAUAAUUAACAACAUUAAUUUUUUAUGCAUUCAUAUAUUUUAUGUAGUGUCAGAUUUAAAAAAAAAUAAACCUACCACUCAGGUUCAUAAAGGACACAAAUGUCCAUGUCAAAAGCGUUCUAACUUUUUUGAGACAUGUUGCGUAUGGGAUGAUUUUCCGUCAAAAGUAUUGCGGUCACGGAUCAAAAAUAAGCGUCAGUUCUCCUCUUCGAUUGAUUGGCUAGAGGAGGACCAAUGGUGACUCUAAAGCUCACCCUCAUUUACAUGAAACUCGGACCGCAACAUUUGGAAAAUCAAGCGGAAGAUGUGGAAACAAGCGCGAAGGGACAAACAGCGCAAGCGUUCAGAAAAAGAAAACGAGCAGAAAAUGUCAGAGAGCACAAAAAACGUGGCAAUAUAACCAAGGAAAACGAUUUUGUGUGCGUUUCACUUUUGUGCAAUACAAUUUCGCAUGUGCUUUUAAAUGUUUGAUUCACGCUUAUUUUUCGAUCCGCAAUACUUUUGACGGAAUAUUGAUACCAUAGUUGCGGCCAUCAAAUUCAAAAUGACCUUAUUUUUUCUUAACAUCGUACAUUUACUCAAUUUAAACAUUUGAUAUGUUUUUAUGUUCUAUUGUAAAUAACAUAUGGGUUUGCAAGAUUUGCAAAUCACUGCAUCCUGUAUUUAUUUGUAUUUAUUUACAUUUUACACAGGCAAUGAAUCCAUUUGCACUGCCAACCAUUGCAGGCGCACCGUCCGUGGUGACUGAUAUCAAUUUGCACACUGGGAGCUGGGUUUUGUCAAUGAAGUCUUUAAAAGACUGAAAAAUGUCCUCUCCCUACGAUUUCGCUCGCUAGCCUUUAGCGUUGGCGCGUUUGAUCGCACACAUGUGGUGAGAGAAAAGACGAGAUCUCAGACUGGCUUCUCUGUACAUCAACGCUAACAUCUAUUUUUUUUUUUUUUGAAUGGCGAUCUACCCGCACUUUCUUUUGCGAUCGACAUAUUGGGCACCCCUGCUCUAGAAGCUACAUGUAUCUGGGUCAAAGUCAACAGUCAAGAGAAGCUUUCACCAGAGUAAAUACAGAGGGUUUACCACAAGAUUUGAUCGUUGGCUGGCCUCAAAAACAGGAAGACCAGGUAAGAGCUGAGUACGCAAAAAACAUUUAAAAAAAAAA